rnacentral:lncRNA from 1 species
ACCUUUCCCACCUAUGUAUUUUGGUAGUACGGAUAUUUUUCUAAAAUUAUUUGAGCAAUUUUGGUUCUUAUUCAUUUCAAAUUUAUGCUUUUCAAUCAAAGAGAAAAUAUACAAUAAUAUGCCUUGAUUUUUGUCGACUCAGUAUUCAAUGAAAGCCAUAUAUAAUAGGCGAAAUGCAUACGAUCCCUUCAAGUUGUCCUCAACGGUCAGCCAGACACCUCAACUGACCUCAUUUUCAGUUGGACAUCUCAAGCCUUCAAUAAAGCAGGUCAAUUAAACACCCGACCUCAUCAGCCCACUCGCGUGAAAUAAACUCUCAGAUUCAUGUCAAACGAACAAAUGAGAAAAUGUCAUGUGUAAUCUUAAUUAAAAAUUUUGCCACCUAUUAUAAAACAAAACAAAAACAAUAAUAAUAAGUAAACCCUAGAGACCUAGACCCUUCCCAGCCGCCCCCUCUUCUUCUUCAAUCAAGAGCAGACCCUAAUCCCCCGAAGAAUUCCAAUCGUCCAAUCUCCUCUCCAAGGCGCCGCUGCAUUUUUUCAAAUGACUCUUUCCUCCUCGAAGUGCCUUCAUCCAUUUCCAAACAGCCACUGAUGCCGGUAAUAGCCAUGGACGCCGGCAACAGUUAUGACCGCCAACAACAAUCAUGAACCAGUUCUUGUUUAUUAUCCAUGUUACUGCAAAAUUUCGAAUUUCUGGGGUAUGUUGUUUUUGCUUUUGGGUCGGGUAUUAGAGAGAGAGGUCAAAAAAUUCAUUUUUCCACGGAUAUAAGCUCAAGAAUUUCUAAGAGGUCAUCAUCUUAAUUCAUUUCAACUUCACAUCCUUGGACGAGUCUUUGGUCAUAAUGAUGGUAUGCAUAAACCACACCAACACUUGAAAUGUUAUCAGAACUUAACCUACUGCCUUUCACCAAAGACAUUAACUUAUCUCCUGUAACCUUAAUAUGUGUCCCCUAAUUUUUUGGCAAAACCUUAUUCAAUAUUUGCCUCUUGAGAUUGCAGCUGAAGGGAAUGGGUGAAAAUAACUUUUGUAGUGAAUAGCUUCACUCGUCAACCCCACUUGUUUGAGAUUUAGGGAUCGUUUGGCAGGAUGCAUUAGAUAAAUAAUAUAUGCAUUAGCUUUGUGAAUUAAUAAUAUUUUAUUUGGUAU